CCUACGGGGGGCAGCAGUAGGGAAUCUUCCACAAUGGGCGAAAGCCUGAUGGAGCAACGCCGCGUGGGUGAAGAAGGUCUUCGGAUCGUAAAACCCUGUUGUUAGAGAAGAAAGUGCGUGGGAGUAACUGUUCACGUUUCGACGGUAUCUAACCAGAAAGCCACGGCUAACUACGUGCCCGCAGCCGCGGUAAUACGUAGGUGGCAAGCGUUAUCCGGAUUUAUUGGGCGUAAAGGGAACUCAGGUGGUCUUUUAAGUCUGAUGUGAAAGCCUUCGGCUUAACCGGAGUAGUGCAUUGGAAACUGGGAGACUUGUGUGCAGAAGAGGAGAGUGGAACUCCAUGUGUAGCGGUGAAAUGCGUAGAUAUAUGGAAGAACACCAGUGGCGAAAGCGGCUCUCUGGUCUGUAACUGACGCUGAGGUUCGAAAGCGUGGGUAGCAAACAGGAUUAGAUACCCCAGUAGUC
rnacentral:rRNA from 1 species